rnacentral:RNase_P_RNA from 1 species
GAAGUAGAUUGGGUAAUCGCCCUCAAAAUUAUGGGGGAGGAAAGUCCGAGCUCCAAGAGCAGCGUAGCGGCUAACAGCCGCCCAUUGCAAGGUGAGGAUUAGACCCACAGAGACGAGUAGGCGCCCUUGUGCGCUGAGGUGAAACGAGGGAAUCUCUACGUGGAGCAAGGUCAAAUAGGUCCCAAUUUUGGAUUUGCUCUAUCCAAGAACCCGUAAAAUGCAUGUUCUAUUGGGACGGGUAGACCGCUCGACUGCGUUAGAGAUAAUGCAGCUAGAUGGAUGAUUAUCAGGUGAGUCAAUUCAUGGAUUCACUUACAGAACUCGGCUUACAGAUCUACUUCAUGA